AAAGUCACACAUGAUCACACUCACACAAGAUCUGCUUGCUCCUUUGUUCCCCUCCUCCCGCCCCCUUUCACACACUGUUGAUUGGCUCAGAGAAGGGAAAGCACUUGUGAAACCUGCGGCUUGCUCUGAGUCGAGAGAGAGAUCACACAUCGUGACUCAGCCUACAAGCAGUGAAUGACUAGCAUGUCGGACCCAGUGGCGGGAGGAACUGCAGAACUUCCGCAGGGAACACAGCAUCUCCAAGAAGGUGCUGCUCAACUGCUGCCUGGUCCAAUGCAUCAUCGCCUGGUACAGGGAACUCCACUUGAGUGGGUUGAUAAUGUAGCUUAGCCGUUAGCUAUGCUAACAAUGGUUGUUAAAGUGAUGUCACGUUGCCCUGAGACCUGAAGACUCAGGAUUGAAAUGAUCGGUGGUUUGCUGUAUAGUGUAUUGGAUACAAUGACCAACUUUGUAGUAGUGUCAGAGAACAUGUUAUCAGAUCAGGGCAGGAUGUUGAUUUGUAUACACAAGCGCUGGGUCUUGAACUGCUGUUGCAUGUCAUUGUGGUGAAGUGAUGCAAUGUCAGAUACGUGUGGUUUGUCAGGACACCUGUGCAAGACCUUAUCUCAAUGCUUUUUUUCUCUCGCCCUCAACACCAAUUUCUUUUCUUGUAAAUAAACUAAUCAAUUUCAA